UACGUAGGGGGCGAGCGUUGUCCGGAAUCAUUGGGCGUAAAGCGCGCGUAGGCGGCCCGGUAAGUCCGUUGUGAAAGUCAAAGGCUCAACCUUUGAACGCCGAUGGAUACUGCCGGGCUGGAGUCCGGAAGAGGCGAGUGGAAUUCCUGGUGUAGCGGUGGAAUGCGCAGAUAUCAGGAGGAACACCAAUAGCGAAGGCAGCUCGCUGGGACAGUACUGACGCUGAGGCGCGAAAGCGUGGGGAGCGAACAGG
rnacentral:rRNA from 1 species